rfam:Streptomyces sp. 13-12-16 NODE_464_length_5395_cov_27.931232, whole genome shotgun sequence.
CUUGAUGGAGCCGAGCAGCAGCGGACGCUCCGGGUCCCGGCCCCGGCCGUAGGUGGCCAGCAGGGCCUGCGCCUC